AGAGUGAACGCUGGCGGCAGGCCUAAUACAUGCAAGUCGAACGGCAGCACGGCAGAGCUUGCUCUGUGGGUGGCGAGUGGCGGACGGGUGAGGAAUACAUGGGAAUCUGCCCAGUCGUGGGGGAUAACGUAGGGAAACUUACGCUAAUACCGCAUGCGCCCUUCGGGGGAAAGCCGGGGACCUUCGGGCCUGGCGCGAUUGGAUGAGCCCAUGUCGGAUUAGCUAGUUGGCGGGUAACGGCCCACAAGGCGACGAUCCGUAGCUGGUCUGAGAGGAUGAUCAGCCACACUGGAACUGAGACACGGUCCAGACUCCUACGGGA
rnacentral:rRNA from 1 species